rnacentral:snRNA from 1 species
UUUGAAAACAAAAACAAGUAA